rnacentral:piRNA from 1 species
UGAGCAAAUUCAAUAUUAUAAGGUUGCCA